rnacentral:snRNA from 1 species
AGCAUGUGCUGUACCCUAAAAUCAGAAAGAGACAGGGAUUAGCAUGACCCCUGCACGAGGAUGACCUGCAGAUUUGUGAAGCGCUUUUGUUGUUU